rnacentral:rRNA from 1 species
ACGGAAGGCAGCAGCUAAGAAUAUUCCGCAAUGGACGAAAGUCUGACGGAGCGACGCCGCGUGGAUGAUGAAGGUCGGAAGAUUGUAAAAUCCUUUUAUAACUGAGGAAUAAGCAGUGUGAGAGAAACGCAUUGCGGUGACUGUAGGUUAUGAAUAAGCAACGGCUAAUUACGUGCCAGCAGCCGCGGUAACACGUAAGUUGCGAGCGUUGUUCGGAAUUAUUGGGCGUAAAGGGCAUGUAGGCGGUUUUGCAAGCUUGAUGUGAAAGGCAGGAGCUUAACUCCUGGACUGCGUUGAGAACUGCAUGACUAGAGUCACUGAGGGGCAAUCAGAAUUCCUGGUGUAGGGGUGAAAUCUGUAGAUAUCUGGAAGAACACCAAUGGCGAAGGCAGGCUGCUGGCAGAUGAUUGACGCUGAGGUACGAAAGUGCGGGGAGCAAACAGGAUUAGAUACCCUGGUA